AACGAACGCUGGCGGCAUGCCUAACACAUGCGAGUCGAGCGAGACCUUCGGGUCUAGUGGCGCACGGGUGCGUAACGCGUGGGAACCUGCCCUUAGGUUCGGAAUAACUCCCCGAAAGGGGUGCUAAUACCGGAUAAUGUCUUCGGACCAAAGAUUUAUCGCCUUUGGAUGGGCCCGCGUUGGAUUAGCUAGUUGGUAGGGUAAAAGCCUACCAAGGCGACGAUCCAUAGCUGGUCUGAGAGGAUGAUCAGCCACACUGGGACUGAGACACGGCCCAGACUCCUACGGGAGGCAGCAGUGGGGAAUAUUGGACAAUGGGCGAAAGCCUGAUCCAGCAAUGCCGCGUGAGUGAUGAAGGCCUUAGGGUUGUAAAGCUCUUUUACCCGGGAUGAUAAUGACAGUACCGGGAGAAUAAGCGCCGGCUAACUCCGUG
rnacentral:rRNA from 1 species